rnacentral:rRNA from 1 species
AUGGAAAUUUGCCCUUGCCCAUGUGGAACAUGUGUGAGCAUUAUAUGUUUCCAACAAGUGAUCCGACUGGAAGAAGUGUUAUAUGAGGACUUCAAGAUCAAAUAG